AACCGACAUCACUGUGUAAAGGAUCUUACUGCAUGGGCUCAGGAACAUUUAAAAAAACCGUUGUCAGUUAACACAGUUCGUUGCUACACUUACAAGUGCAAGAUAAAACUCUACCAUGCAAAGAAAAAGCCAUACAGCAACAACAUCCUGAAAUACUGCCAACUUCUCUGGGCCCGAGCUCAUUUGAAAUGGACAGAUCAUAUGCAAAGUG